rnacentral:rRNA from 1 species
AUUGAACGCUGGCGGCAGGCCUAACACAUGCAAGUCGAGCGGAUGAAGGGAGCUUGCUCCUGGAUUCAGCGGCGGACGGGUGAGUAAUGCCUAGGAAUCUGCCUGGUAGUGGGGGAUAACGUCCGGAAACGGGCGCUAAUACCGCAUACGUCCUGAUGGAGAAAGUGGGGGAUCUUCGGACCUCACGCUAUCAGAUGAGCCUAGGUCGGAUUAGCGAGUUGGUGGGGUAACGGCCUACCAAGGCGACGAUCCGUAACUGGUCUGAGAGGAUGAUCAGUCACACUGGAACUGAGACACGGUCCAGACUCCUACGGGAGGCAGCAGUGGGGAAUAUUGGACAAUGGGCGAAAGCCUGAUCCAGCCAUGCCGCGUGUGUGAAGAAGGUCUUCGGAUUGUAAAGCACUUUAAGUUGGGAGGAAGGGCAGUAAGUUAAUACCUUGCUGUUUUGACGUUACCAACAGAAUAAGCACCGGCUAACUUCGUG